AAUGCCUCUAAACGAUGAAGAAGAACACCACCAAUUGUUGGCGGAUAGAUUACUCGAGGAAGAAUCUGCCUAUGAAUACUCCGACAAAGUCCAUAUUAUCGGAGUCGACGAUGAUGAUGAUUUCACCAAAACUCCUCCUUUUUCCUGGAAAAAACUAUGGGCUUUUACUGGACCGGGUUUCUUGAUGAGUAUAGCCUUUUUGGAUCCGGGAAAUCUUGAAGGAGAUCUUCAGGCAGGGGCUAUCGCUGGGUAUUCUCUGUUAUGGCUACUCUUUUGGGCUACGGCUAUGGGAUUACUUGUUCAGCUUUUAGCGGCUCGUUUGGGUGUCGCUACUUCUAGGCAUUUGGCUGAGCUAUGUAGGGAUGAGUAUCCGAAAUGGGCUCGAUUGCUUUUGUGGGUCAUGACCGAAUUGGCUCUAAUUGGGGCUGAUAUUCAAGAGGUUAUUGGAAGUGCUAUU
rnacentral:misc_RNA from 1 species